GUAUGUGUAUGUCGUGAAUGACUGAGGGUAUGUAGUUUAUGUCGUGAAUGACUGAGGGUAUGUGACCCUCAGUCAUUCACGACAUACACAU
rnacentral:pre_miRNA from 1 species